UGAACCAAAACCCUCAUCCUAGAAUUCUUAGUGUGAAAAAGAUGUGGAUAGGUUUUGACCUGCAUUGCAAGAAAGGAUACAUCCCAGAUACAGCACCAAGACCAAGAGAAGGGAACUCCCUUCCCUUGACGAAGCUAGUGAAUAUCCAUUGAGAGAUAGAUAGCCUUAGAUAAUAGUAUGGAGACAUGAGUAGCUUCAGAGACAGGAAGGAGGCCUGGUUUCAAAUGAUGCCUUUGACACCUACUAACUGAGUGGUGCCAAAUAAGUCCCUAGUGGCUCAGAGAAUUCUCCAAGUCUCUAAGUUACAAAAGAGUUGCCUAUCCACACCUAUUAAGAGAAUUAGCACACUGGAACAUCCAUGGAUAAAAUUACAAGUCUUGCCUCCUUGCUCCCAUCACCAUUGAUAUUUUCCUAUUGCAAUAAACAUAUUGAACACUUCGGCAGCAGGUAGGGUUAUCCACACAUAGACUGGACAGCAGGAUUUACUCAUAGGUCCUUAUCGUGGGAAAGAACUUUGUUUUUUUUUCUUUUUGGGUGCCCCUUGGAAAUGCCUCUUCAGUCUUUUGGAUGUGUUUCCACUGUGGAAAGGAAUGGCAUGAGCUCAGUACAUUGGACUGGGCAAUGGGUCUGCUGAAGAAGAUAUCCUGAAAAGUUUAAAAGCUUAGAAAACAAGCUGGAGGCUGGAAUUCAAUUCUGUCUAUGAAGUCCUUUGUAAGAAAGUGAAUAGAAAUGAAGAAAAUAAAAGAGAACAUUUAGGACAAAAGACCCUUCCUAGCUGGGUGACCGUGGGCAAAUCACUUCACCUCCAUUGCCCGGCCCUGACCACUCUCCUGCCUGAGAACCAAUACUCAGCAUUGAAUGGAAGAUGCAAGCUUCCAAGAGCCGUUCCUGGUCUUUCCACUGGAGAAUGUCAUUGUGAGAGGCAAAGGGGAGUAGCUUGGCUCCCAUCUUCCAGAGAUCUUCUUCAUCUGCCUGCCUGCAGGGUCUUCAUGUCCUGCUCAGCAGACAGACAACAGGCUGAAACUGGGGAUCCUGCUUGCUGUCCUCCAUGCUGUCACUGGUGGAAUCCUGGUCCUUGA
rnacentral:lncRNA from 1 species